rnacentral:lncRNA from 1 species
GAUGGUCUUCAAAACACAGAGACGUGUAGCAUAUGUGUUAGAUAUGGUUCUGGGGAGAACCAUAUUUAAGGGAGGAGCGGAGGAGAAACCUAUAAAGAAGACUCAGGAAGAACAGCCUGAAAUGGAAACCAGCAGAAUGUGGAAGGGGAAAGCAUUUCAAAGAGGAAGGAGCAGCCAGAGGUGUUAAAUGCUGCUCACAUGGAAAGAAACACGAGGACGAAAAAGUGCACAGCAAAGAUAAUAUUUCUGAAACGUGAAACCAAUGUAUGUCUGUUUCAUGCUCCAUAGAUCGUGUUCCCUGUAAUUUUCCCGCACCCGCGGAAUCAAUGGCACCAGUGGGUGCUCCUGAAGGUGCCUCUGAGGAAGACAGUAGGUGCCAUCCAGAACAAGGAAGUAGUUGCUUGAUUUUGAACUGUACGUUAGCAAGCUUUAUUAGGAGAGGAAAGAGUUUUCCUAAUUCCAAAAGCAGCUCCCCUUUGCAUAUGAAGAGCAGAGGGUUUGAGGCUCUAAGCCAUGGUGUAGACAGGAUGCAGGAAAUGACAGGGGGGCUGCUUCUGGGCUGUGGAAGAUGGGUGGAGGGGACAAAAUGAGAAGUGUCCUAUAUUCCUCCCCAAAACCUCCUGGUUUCUGGAUGCUUCCUCAAACUUUAAUCUCCCAGCUGCCUUUGUUCUCUAAGUCACUGGUUCUCAAACCUUGUGGGACCAAGGGCUGCAUGAGAAUCACCUAGGACCCUUGUUAAAAAUACAUAAUUUCAGCCACCUCAAGAUCUAUAUAGUCAGAAUUUCUAAGGGUAACUGAGAAUUCGCAUGUCACGAGUUCCCUGGAAAGAUUCUGCUGAGAGCCAGCGUGGAAAGCCCCGGCACAGUGAGUGUUCCUGUUGGUCCCCUCUCUGACCACCUCAGACCGACUACAUCUCCAGGCUCGAAGGACCUGGCCCCUGAACCCCCACCCUCCACUGCUUUAUUUUUCUCUGUGGAACUAUCACCAGCUAACAUUCCAUUUUGUUUACCUGUUUAUUGUAUGUCCCCUUCUGCUAGAUGGAUGCUUCAGGAGGACAAAGUCUUUUUGCUUUUUUCUUAUUUUCUUUAUGGUUAACUGCACACACUAGGUACAUAAUAGACAUUCAGGAACAAUUAAUGAAUGGAUGUAUGAAGAAUCAAAGAACCGAGAAGCUUUCUACCUAUUCUGCCUAAGGAUACAUGAUGAAACUAAGCUAAAAAAAUGAAAGGGAAAUAAUUCUAUCAAGAAAAAAUUAAAUAAGAGGAUACAGCAAACUGGCUUUUCCUUUAGAGAGUCACCAAUAUAUAUACACAUAUACGUAUACACAUACAAAAAGUCACAGACACAAAGAGGGAAAUGAGCCACAGUGUUAGGAGAUAGCUCAGAGACUCUGAGCCACAGAUACUCGGCUGUGGGUAUCUGAGUCAGUUUUCCUGGAAAUAGCUUUGAAAUACCAGCAUCUCUAGUCCUUUCUGAAUUUGUAAGUAGUCUUUGGACUUUUGUUAUCAAACAUCAGAGUUUAUUCUUGAAAUAAAAGUUUGUUUCCCCUUGGAAUUCUGAGGCUUUCUCCUUUAGAACCUUGGCAGCCUAAGUCCCUCUCUACCUGUGUCUUUAAGUAUGGUCAAUAUUCAAAAGCUUUGGAUGGCGUUGUCUUCGUUUAUGCGGAUAUUAGGUUGCCUCAGUCAACAAUGCUUGAAAAUGGCUUUAAAAUGAGCAUCAUAUCAUGAAGCCAUAUUUGUAUUUAAAUUAAAAUUGUUUUUUUUUUUUGGCCUAUGUCAUACCAGGGAUAAUAUAGAGCAACAGAGAACCAGGGAAAAUGUGAUUCAUGCAUCUCCAAGUCAGGAAAAAGAGACUAUUGGAAUCAUAGCCAGCGACAAACAAGUUAUUGGGAUUUAUAGAAAAGGAUGGCUGAGCAUUCCUGGAAAAACAACUGACUUUUUGUUGUUGUUGCUGUUGUUAGGGAAGAUUUUGUCUGCUUAACUGGCCAGAGUUUUCACUCCAUCCCCCGAAGAAUUGACGUUUUAAAAAGCACAACUGUAGAUUUAGAUUUUCACAGUCUUUUGCUAGAUUCUUUACCAAAGACUAUUAGUGAGUAGUAACCCUGGGAUUGUGUAAAACUUUAUUAAGGAUGAGGGAAUAAAUAGGUUUAAUUUCAGGAAAUAAAACUGGGGCUAAAUUAGUACUUCUCUGACGGAAAAUGUAUAAAUAAUGUGAUCCCCUGGGGACCCAGGUUAGCACUAGAUUUAUUUUUAAAUUUUAUAACUCAUCUGAAAGAGAGAGAACACAGUGGAAUCUAUAUAUUUGUAUAUUCCUCUAAGCUGUUCUGAUUUGAAAGAUAUUAAAUCAAUAGGAAUAACUUUCUGAGACUCUUGUAAGAUUGCAUAAGUCAGCACAAAAGUGGCAGGUAACCUUCAGUGUAAGCAAGAAUAAAAGAAUACAUUUAGGAGAAAGGCAUCUAAACUGUACUUAUAUGAUGAUGAAUUUCAAGCUAUGAAUUACUACCAGGGAAAAGGAUUUGAAAUAUGGAGGACCGAAAAGGCCCCAUAGUCAAAUAAUUUGGUGAAAUAUUACAAACUAUAUUCUUCAAGAUUCACCAUGUACCUGAGCAUAUGAAAGGCUUGAGAAAGGCCUGCAGUAAAGAAACCUGCUUAACUUUGUUUAUUCUGGGCUCAAAUAGGUUUUCAAAAGGAGAGAACGUGGGUUGUUAACUUCCUGGUUGGCUACUGAGAGAAAUGAGUCUCUUGAGCAAUUAUCCUUUGCAGGUAGCUUCCAUGAAGAACCCAGUUUUUGAGUGCCUCUAGCAGAGACUAAGCUUCAAACCUCAUUAACCAUGGAUCCAAUCCAAUAUGGCAGCUUGUAUGUUCUCCAUUCUCAAAGCCCAAUAUAAAUGAUGGGCUUUCUUCAUUCACCCAGAUAACUAAGAGCUGAUGGUACCCCAUUGAGCAGAUAUGGGAGACAAUGAAUCUUCAUAGAUGAGUGCCUAAGGAUAUAUGUGUCACUCAAGAGUAAAUGAACCAAUCAUGUUGCUAUGCAUAGGGACUCAGUUAAAGAAAAGUCAGAUAAAAUGGGAGGCUGGUAUCUCGCACAGCACUGAUCCGGCUCUCUGCCUAAUUUUUCACUUUUCAUCCAGAUGUUCCCCGUCAAGAAGGCACAGUCAAUAAUGUAUGAAUCUUAAAGGCAGAGGCAGAUGUGGUUAUUACUCCCUGUAGGCAUUUCCUGACUUGGAGACGACAUGUUACUCGAGAAUGACUACAAUUUUUAAAAAUUUAAGUUGAUAUAGCCCGCUUAUGAGUAAAUGCAUUUCAGUGCAAAAGUCUUUUCAGAAUUACAGUCAUCAUCACAGUUUAGUUUGGCCUUUAAAUUUUCACUGUAAACUCUCCAGAUGGUCACAUAUGGGGGCUUCUAAGGCAGAACACGCUUCCCAAUAACAUUAGAGCAAGCAGCCUUCUCUAGGAGGCAUCCAUUUCCAGCAGUCUAUUUUUAAUAUUUGCUUUUAUUUCUUAAUCCUCCUGAACAAUAAAAAUGAACGUCAUUAUAACCAAGUGUGGCUGUAGUCAUCAAUACUUCAGAGUCCAAAAAUACAUUGGCCUUGCCUGACCAGUUGCCCAUUUUCUGGAAUAGCUGGGUAUUUAUCUAGCAGCGAGAGACCAUUAUCCUGAGACACAGUCGUGUUCCACCGACACCUGAUCUACUAAUUAAAAUCACUAUCAUGAUGGACUGUUUAAAUUCUGGUUUAAAUGUUCCUUUUGCAUUUGCAUUUAAAAGAAAACACACUCCUCAUCAUGGGCACCCCAGCCUGGGUUAUAAUUUGGCUUUCCUUUGCCAGAAUUAUAAUGUCACUCUGACUUGCCGCUGGUUAAAUCUAAAAGAGCAUCUAAAUGUGCCUCACAGCUUGGCUGUUGCUUGGCAACGCCAGCAGCCACCUCCUCAUUGGGGUGACUUCUAAUUGGUCACAAGUCUUGACAGGAGCCACUGACUUAUUAGAAAUGACACUUGAUUAUUCACCUAGAUGGCUAGAGCUGAUACUUAGCAGCAGGAAAUUUUGCAUAAAAAGGAGUCGUGGAUGUUUUUAAUAUCUGGGUGGCUUUUAGCGAUGGUGUAGUGGAAGAAGGAAGUGAUAAGUUUCAUUAGUGGAAAUUAAUUUUUCAUUUGUUGGUCACCAGUUUAGAGCACUUUAAGGCAUUAAUUUUUUCAUUUUAAAAAAAAACCCAGAAAUACGUUUAAAUACCUUCCCCCACCCCCAGCAGCUGACCCUUACUUAUUCAGAAAACCCUCCUCUGACAUCAGCCCCAAAAUAUUGCCCCCAGGUCCACCAAGGGCCAAAUCAGAUGAAAUGUUCAAUUUAUAAAGGUCAACAAAUAUUUAUUAAUUAGUUCCUGUUGUUAAGGAGUUUAUAAUGUAGAAGAGAAACAAGGUACAUAAAUCACUGCAUUAUUACCAAUCGUGGAAGGUGGUGACAGAGCUGGGGUCCUGCUUUGAGCAUCAGAAGCCACUUUGGCAGGGAGGAAGCAGUGAGUAGCACCGGAAUUGAGCUCUGAAGAUUUUGCUGUUUUGACAGAGGGAGAAGGUGCAUUGCAGGUGGAAUGAGCUGCAGGAAUCAAGGCAUCUGGACAGAAAAGUACAGGGUAUGUUCAGGGAAUAGGGGAGUACAAAUUGGCUGGAACACAGAGUACAUGUAAGGGAUUAGUGAGAAAGAAAGCUGAAAAAGUAGGUUGAGGCACGUACAGUUCACUGUUCUGUGCCGAGAGAGUGUUUGGUGCACACUUCACUAGAGCUCGAGGAGCUAUUAAAUACUUGAAAGUGAGGGAGUGACCUGCUCAGAACUCUGUGUUAGGAAAAAGGGUUUCAUUUCAGCUGUUUAGCCCCCAAGCCAGCCAUUUCCCAGACCCAUGGGGCAAAUCUUUCUGGUGCAGAUGAGGGGAACUGUGAAUUGUCUGGAGGAGUCUCCUCUUUGUAGUAGCCCCAAGUAUGGGCAGGCUCCCAGGGGCCAUGUUAUGACAUCAAGGCAGCGGUGUCCACUGUGGCUCUUUUGAGUCCCUCUUCGUGUGUGGAUCAACAAGUCACCCAAGCUACACACCAUCAACGUUUGGGGCUUAUCUCUGUUUAGAUGGAUAGGGUUAUGUAAAAAAGACCCUCUCCUUCCCUCUCUCUGUGUAGGAAAUAUGUUUUCCCUAGCACUCAGCAUUGUCCAAACUUUCAGGAACUCCAAAGGCUUAAAGAUGGUGGGUUUUUUCUUUCUCAAGUUUAUGACAUAAGAUCUGCACAGAAUGACCUAGAAGUGAAUAAACUAAGGAGCAAAGGAAAUGUGGAGGCUGAGUUUUGUGGGAAAGCAACAAGCCAGGAGUCAGGAUAUCUGGGGUUCCAAUUCUCAUUUGAACACAAAAAUAACCAGAUUCUGCCCUUUAGGUCCCUAUGUAUUCUGAAGUUGAUGUGUCAAAGAAAUGACAAAAGGCUUUCUUGGGAAUGGGAUGUGUUGCUGAAAGCACAUGGACCAAUGAUCUGACACUUCCCUGCACUGAGCUAAGAAUUUGGCUGCUCUCUCCAUGGCUUCAAGCAACUGUCUCAACCUGAUGCUUUGUGACCUCCUUGGAAUCUUCAAAUGUCAGUGGAAAGGGACAUUAUAGCUCAUUGCGAUCAGCCCUUCAUUUAGGGAUGAGGACCCACGUUCAGAGAGAUUCAAAUGCCAGGUCCAAAGUAACACAUAGGACCAGCAUGAGUCUCAGCUUUCUUCUUCAGAGCCAGUUUUCAGCAAACCACACUGUAUUCAUGCUAAGAGACAGUGCCUCAAUCUGUUCAUGUUUCUUGGGUACCUUCUAUGUCAAGGCUCUCAAGGAACAUUUGAUCAAUCAGUCAUCACACAGGUAUUUCUAGAAAAUCAACAGAAUGGGGUGUGCUAUGCUCAUUCUUGAUAUAACAAAUACCAAAAACUUCAUUAAUCCAUGACAACAUGCAAUAGUUACCACAAAAGAGCAAUAUUGAGAGUGUAUUAGUUAUCUAUUGCUGUGUAACAAAAUUACCCCAAAACUUAGUGGCUUAAAACAAACUUUUGUUAGCUCAUUGUUUCUGUGGGUCAGGAAUCCUGGCAUGGCUUAGCUGAGUGCAAAGGCUGAGUCCAGAGGGACUGAGGGCUGAGGCCAGAGGGAUCAAGGUGUCUUGGAGUAGUAGUCAAAUGGCUGGCCUGAUCUGUGGUCUCAUCUGAAGGCUUGACUGGGGGAAGAUCUGCUUCUAAGCCUCAUCACACGGUUAUUAGCAGGAUUCAAUUCGUAAUGGACUUUGGAAGAUAAGAAUCUUGUACUGUGUCCUUCAGUCAGUGGGGAUCUACAAAUGUUUCAGCAAAGCAUUACUGAAAUAACAAGUAUUUUUGGAAGAUCUGGCCAGGCAUGGUGGCUCAUGCCUGUAAUCCCAGAACUUCAAGAGGCCAAGGUGGGAGGAUCGUUUGAACCCAGGAGUUCAAGACCAACUUGGGCAACAUAGGGAGACCCCGUUUCUACAAAACAUUAAAAAAAUUAGCCAGCUGUGGUUGUGUGUGUCUGUAGUCCCAGAUAUUAAUACUUGAGGGGCUGAAAUGGGAGGAUGGUUUGAGCCCAGGAGGGCAAGGAUGCAGUGAGCUGUAAUCAUGCCACUGCACUCCAGCCUGGGUGACAGAAUGAGAUCCUGUCUCAAAAGAAAAGAAAAGAGGCCAGGAAGCUCUUUCAAAGAACUUUCUUUAGUACACCUGGGUGUCAGGCACUAUCAAAGUCCUAAGACUACAAAGAUGCUUAGGCUAUAGUCUUUUUUCUCAAGAAGGAAGAUGACAACCAUAUUCCAGGUGACAAGUAGCAACACCUGAACUAGGAGGUGACUGAGGAGAUAAAUAUGAAAGAACAGAUGAAAGAAAGGAAGCAAUGUUAACAUGAUGAGGCAAGAACAGAUGGCUCCAAUGGGGAGUUGUCCCUGAGGAACAAGAAAAGAGAAGAGAAUGAUUCCAGUAGUCCAAACCAGCCUGGGAGGACGGAUCCCUCCAGAGGACAACUACCAUGUUUACACCACUCCCUGCUUUCUGUGCCAAGUGUUUUGCAUAUUUUGUUUCUAAUCUUUGUCACGACUCUUCAAGGGAGGUAUUAUUUUCAUUUUUGCAGAUGAGGAACUAGACUCAGUGAGGUUAGGCAAUGUACCCAAGAUCACACAGCUAUAAAGUGCCAGGGGAAGGAAACCUACUAAUUUGCAGUGCCUUUGAGUAUUUGCUAUGCUUGGGGCAAGUAUUCUCCAACAAGGUCGGAAUCUUACACUCAAGGAAGGAAACUCAGUGAUGAGAUUCUGUGAGUCACCCAAAAGGAGAGGAGAAGAAGACCUUUGAGCAGAAGCUCUCAGCCCUUCUUGGUCGUUACUCUCUUUGCCCACUCAUCAGGCCCUCCCUCCUUUUAGAAUUCACUCUGUUGCCCUCUGUCUGCACCUUGACUCAAAAUUUCACAGACACAGUUGGUAGAAAAAAAAAAAAAA